GCCCGGAUGGUGAAAUUGGUAGACACAAGGGACUUAAAAUCCCUCGCCAGCGAUGGCGUACCGGUUCGAUUCCGGUUCCGGGCA
rfam:Thiobacillus sp. 65-1059 scnpilot_expt_750_p_scaffold_977, whole genome shotgun sequence.